UGACUCUUAGUCAUGUCAAUAAGAAUUGACUGUUCAGCAGCAUUUAACCUCCCCGCAUAAGGAUGACCGACCAAAGUCUCGGCUAAUUCAUGGUUGUGAUAACCACACAUAACCUUUAACACCCAACCGUGUCCUUUAGGUUUACCCCUCAACUUAAAUGGACACUCACAUUUUCUCGUGCCAAACACACUAGGUUGCACGUCUUGCUUAUACUUCCUAUAUUUCCCACUCCUUUCACAGCCUAACACAACGAAUGUCUUUCUUCCAGGUUCACCAGUUGCUGUGUCAGAUCUUAUGAUGACGACCACAAAUCCAAGCUGAAAUGCAAUCUU
rnacentral:lncRNA from 1 species